rnacentral:tRNA from 1 species
GCUUAAAUAGCUUAUAAAGAGCAUAACAUUGAAGAUGUUAGGGAGACCCUUGGGUCUUUGGGCA